UCAGCCUUCAUAUAGGAACAUACAGUACAGAACACAAUACUGGGUAAGUAUACACUGGAUUAUUCCGUAUUCGUUGGAUAUGAUACUCCAAACAGGAGAUGCUUUUUAGCCUUCCCACUAGCCUGCACCAAGUGGCUUGGCAAACAAACAAUAGGUGAUGCUGACACCUUUCGAUGGCAUCAGCACAAGUGCACAACACAUGUUGAGUUUUGAGAUUGUCUACCUCAUCCAUUUCUUUCUUGGGAGCCUGUUCAACUCAUUAUAGAUGCAUUGCAUGUAUAUAUGUCUGAUUAAAAAGGCCUGAGCCUGCAGUUCCGUGCUUUUCCACCACGGCACAGCUUGCCAGGUUGAAGCAGUAUAUAGUUAUAAAUUGUCUUCUUUUGUCACUAUCAGGGAGGUUGGGUUGAGAGGGAGAUGCUUUGUCAAUUUGGUUGUAUAAGUUGCAUCGUAGGCACAGUUGAGCCCACAUCUUGCUUAGGAACAGUUCGCCUCCAUUUGGCUUUGCAUACUAUAGUUGUCUUCCAUUUAGUUUUCAGCCAGCAUAGGAUUUCAGAUUUCUUCUAAUUUUGCCUUUCCUGCCUGGAUUGUAUAUAUUGAUUUAUAUAUAUCUUGACGACCUGCCUCUCAUCGUUGGUGCAGAGGCCGAAUUCCAUUAUCC
rnacentral:sRNA from 1 species